UACGUAGGGUGCAAGCGUUGUCCGGAAUUAUUGGGCGUAAAGAGCUCGUAGGCGGUCUGUUGCGUCGGCUGUGAAAACCCGGGGCUCAACCCCGGGCCUGCAGCCGAUACGGGCAGACUAGAGUUCGGCAGGGGAGACUGGAAUUCCUGGUGUAGCGGUGAAAUGCGCAGAUAUCAGGAGGAACACCGGUGGCGAAGGCGGCGUCCUGGACCAACACUGACACUGAUGAGCGAAAGCCAGGGGAGCAAACGGG
rnacentral:rRNA from 1 species